rnacentral:rRNA from 1 species
AUUGAACGCUGGCGGCAGGCCUAACACAUGCAAGUCGAACGAGAGGCGGACGGGUUGGUAAUGACUGGGAAACUGCCUGAGGGAGGGGGAUAAGUACUGGAAACGGUAGCUACUACCGCAUAGCAUAGAAUGGGCCCGGAUGGGAUUAGCUAGUAGGUGGGGUAAAGGCUAACCUAGGCGACGAUCCCUAGCGGGGCUGCGAGGCUGACCAGCCACACGGGAAGUGAUACAGGGUCCAGACUCCUACGGUAGGCCGCAGUGGGGAAUAUUGCACAAUGGGCGAAAGCAUGAUGCAGCCAUGCCGCGUGUAUGAAGAAGGCCUUCGGGUUGUAAAGUACUUUCAGCGGGGAGGCGUUACCCGCAGAAGAAGCACCGGCUAACUUCGUGCCAGCAGCCGCGGUAAUUC